CGCUGAUACAACUGGCUCCCACCGAGCGACGAAGCGUGUCUAUGUCUAAAUCCAAACAUAGAUCACCACGAUUUAUAUUUUCAGUAUGUUAAAAUCGUCCUAGAACUGAACCGUGAACUACAAAAGUCAUCGAAGAGGUGGUCCACGGCCCAAUUGGGCCCACCUGAGCCGCCCGUCGAAAUACGCGAAGGACAAACUUACAUCACGGAGCGUUAGCCCUGACGUUGUGUUUUUUCCGCCAUAUCUAGUAUGUGGACUUUGCUGAAUUUGUCUGGGUUUUUUUUUCAGCAGACCUAUGAAACGACGUCGUAACGAUAUGCCAUAGUGACGAUGUUCCAAGGCUGAAAUUUGAACUGGCGAUGCCUGUAUGUUCAUGUUUACCAGGGUAACGAGCUUAAAGAGCCAUUCAGACCACGCUGGCCGCAUAGUGAUGGGAGAACUGCAUCAGGGAGAGUGCAAUGGGACAAAAAAGGAUAAUUGUAUCUAGAAAGCGAUCCCGAUCCGAACAACAAGGAUAACUUCCAUGAAGUAACGGGUAAUGAAAUAGGACGAUGGAACAACUGCAACGACUUCGAUCUCAGAACCCAUAUCUAGCCCACCGUAUCUCGUUUCCAUUUAGUCCACAUUGGAGGAGGUCAUAGCCUUUAGCUUGAGAAGACAUUCCGCUUGCAGAUGCGUUCGGCCUGAAUUACGUCUGGAGAGCGUCGAAUCAGCUUAUAAGUCUGGACGUCCAUAAGCAGCUAUGUUAUACGUAUAUAGUUGUAGCACGGAUCGAUUAACAAGAGCUUUUUACGAUGAAUCAUGCUAUAUAUGUAUUUUAACGGUGACAGUGAUCUCGAUCAUUGUGUAAGAUGAACUGCAACCCACAACUACGCUCAUAUAGUUCCAUACUUCAUAGCGGUAGGAAAAAUAUUAGAAGAUAGACCCAGCCCUGCCAAUCCUCAUCAGUAUCAGUGGAGUUGAUCUUACGAGAUACAUGUGUACCUAGAGGCCAAAAAGCAAAUGAAACAAGACUAUGAUUGUAAAUCGAACGUGGCACUCAGUACGAUGCCGGCGUAAAAAUAAAAAUUAUAUGAAGAAAGUGCACGCAAAUUUUAAAUAAGUUCAUGCAAAUGAAGACAAACAAGUGAGCACCGACUGAGUGAUUGCCACGCAACUUAUUACUACUACUACUGCUACUACUUGAGAAGGACACGGGCAGAGGCGCGUAUUUUUAUAUACAGAAUAUGUACUAGUAGUGCGUGGUGAACGACAAGUUUCGUAUUCAUAGUAGAGGUAAAAUAUGCAUUGCUAUUGUUGAUCCUACUCAUCUUACGCCGAGACUAAGUGCAUGAGCGCGCAAAAAGCCCUAACACCUUAGGUGGUGAGGAGCAAUAAUCAAGUGGAACUCAAGCCCUAGGUACUUGAUACUAGGGUCCUCUAAGUGAGAGCUGCAGAUAGACUCCAUUAGAAACAGUAAAGUUACAUUUUGAGUAUUGUUCCCGUUGACUCAAAAGCCCAUUACUGGCACGUGCGAUAAGUUCUCCGAAAUUUGCAUCCGGAACUUCGUUAGCCAUAAAUCAAAUAGUUGAGCUCCGCUUCAAGAUACGCGUACUUAACCCAAGAUACCUACGUUCAAGU